rnacentral:rRNA from 1 species
AGUGAACGCUGGCGGCGUGCCUAAUACAUGCAAGUCGAGCGGACAGACGAUAAGCUUGCUCCUCUGCCGUUAGCGACUGGCGGGUGGGUAACACGUGGAUCACCUACCUCUAAUACUUGGAUAACUUCGGGAGAACGGAUCUAAUACCGGCUAAUAUAUUCUACCGCUUAGUUCAAUAGUGAUAGACGGCUUUCCUGUCACUUUUAGCUGGUGUCGGAUUAGCUAGUUUGGUUGGUAAAGUCCCACCAAGGCGACGAUGCGUAGCUGAUCUGAGAGGAUGAUCGGCCACACUGGAACUGAGACACGGUCCAGACUCCUACGGGAGGCAGCAGUAGGGAAUAUUCGGCAAUGGGCGCAAGCCUGAUGCAGCCAUGCCGCGUGAGUGAAGAAGGUCUUCGGAUUGUAAAGCUCUUUUAUUAGGGAAGAAAAACAGUGUAAGAAAACACGGCUGUCCUGACGGUACCCAAUGAGAAAGCAACGGCUAACUUCGUG